GUAGAAUUGGAUUAAGAUACGAAAACUCUGUUCUCACUGCACCAGCUUUUCAGUCGAAAAUGAUCUCAAAAGUGCGCGUUUUUUUCUUGCUGGUUCUAAUUGCCGUAUCUAUGUAUCCUCGAACGCUCGCAUUCACAGCCGGAGCGGGCAAUAUCCGGGGUAAACGAGGUGCCAAUAACAUCCAGGCUACCUAUCACCUCCGCCGAGUUUGCGCGACAGCGCAGUCCGCCUGCCAAUCCUUGAGAAAAAAAGAUACAGCUUUUCACCCGAUGGACCAGUCUAACGAACAGUAGAAAGUCACAGGAGCUUCAAUUUGCCUUCUGAGCGAAUUUUGUAGAAGACGGCGAUAAAACCAGGAUCAUGAAUACUCACCUUUACCGUAAUUGUAGUGUUGUAGAAAGCAAGGACUCUAGAUCAGUAACUGAUAAAUAAUUUAUUUCACAAACUGUAAAAAGAAUACUGAAAUAAACAUUAUGUGCACCCGAAA